rnacentral:lncRNA from 10 species
GUCCUAGCUGGGCGUGCUGGCUCACACCCCGUACUUUGGGAUGCCAAGGCAGGCUGGUCUUGAACUCCUGACCUCGUGAUCCACCCAUCUCGGCCUCCGAAAGUGCUGGGAUUACAGGCAUGAGCCGCUGUGCCCAGACUAGAAUUCAAUUUUUGAGAAUUCAUUGACAACUCUUACUUAAAAUAAGGUUGCUGUACUGAUGUGAGACAUUGUUG